UGACGCAGAGCAUGUAGACGUACAAGGAAACGAAGCACGUUUGUUGUUGGCCGAGUGAGAAUGACAGAGCGGUACUGAAGUUGUCCAAAGAGUCGUGUUUCAGUUCGUCAAAUAAGUAUACACUUUGAACAGACGGAGAAAAAGGAACCAAAGAUGUCUUCUCCUGAGCCCAUCCUAAAAUCGAGACAGACAGAGAAAGAAGUCAAUGGAAUUUCUACGCAGGUUGUCUGUACUGAGUUCAGCAAUUACAUAUUCAUAGUUCUGACUCAGUACGGCAAAAUUGGGACAUUGGUGUCUGUGACACCUGACUCCAGAUCUAAUGAUAUCAGCACCUCAACACUCUCCACCAAAGUACUGCUUGGCAAGGAUGAGCCUCUGACACAUGUCUGUGCCAAAAACCUGGCAACCUUUGUGUCACAAGAAGCUGGUAACAGGCCCGUCCUACUGGGACUGGCACUGAAGGAUUCCUCCCUGGAUGCAAUAAAACAAAUGAAAGAGGUCAUCAAAAGCUGUCAAGUCUGGUAGGAAGUCAAGAAAAUGGACAUGAAUCCUAAGAACUCGAUCAGGGAGACUUCCUGAACAUCUCAAAAGUCAUAUUUGUAUCUGGUUUUAGAACGAGCAGCUCCUGAAAAUGUUUCACAACUAUGGACAUUGGCCCACAUGCAUCAUGGAAAUGACAGCUUAUAUUUGAACUUUCAAAUGGGACGAUGGAAACAAUAGACAACUGUUGUAAUAUAUAGUGCUUUUUUACUCUUACAUAAAGUCCGUUGAUUAAAAAAAACGCAUGCUUUUGCAGAGACAUUAACAUUUUAUAUGCUUUUUUGUCAUGAUUGGUGAGACAAGAACUGUUGGAAACCAUUUGUCGUUUCUUUAGUUGUAAAGAAUUAUUUUCUGCAAAUCACAAUUCUCAAAAGAAAAUAUCAACAACUUAAGACUGUGGAUUAAGUUGAGUCAAAGUUUGUUAAAUGAUGGCCAAUUACUUCAAAUCCAUCAUCGUUAAAAAUAUGUAUUCUAAUUUUGUUGUUUUGUCAUUUGUUAUACUUCAUACUGUCUAUUUUUGUAAUUUGGAAUAAAAAAUGUUCGAGUUUUUGUUCAGGGAAUAAAAUGAUGAAAGGAA